rnacentral:rRNA from 1 species
CAGAGGGUGCAAACGUUGUUCGGAAUUACUGGGCGUAAAGCGCGUGUAGGCGGCAGCGUGUGUCGGGCGUGAAAUCCCAUGGCUCAACCAUGGAAGUGCACCCGAAACUGCGCAGCUAGAGUCCUGGAGAGGAAGGUGGAAUACUUGGUGUAGAGGUGGAAUUCGUAGAUAUCAAGUGGAACACCGGUGGCGAAGGCGGCCUUCUGGACAGUGACUGACGCUGAGACGCGAAAGCGUGGGGAGCAAACAGGAUUAGAUACCCUGGUAGUCCACGCCGUAAACGAUGAGUGCUAGGUGUCACGGGCUUUGACCCUCGUGGUGCCGAAGCUAACGCGUUAAGCACUCCGCCUGGGGAGUACGGCCGCAAGGCUA